UCCAUGCGUCACCAGCACGGCGACUGGGCCCGCUCCGGGAAAACAGCCGCUCUUCCAUGGGCUUUCACUUACCCGCUCUCCGCCCGAAUAGCCCGACGCCUCGCUUAUCUCCUGUUACGCGCAAGCACCCACCAAGGUUUGGCGCUGCCGAGCAGAGAGCUCCUUGCCUACAGACUAUAAACAUUUGAAAGAGUAAAGCUACUGCAGAGACUAGGUAGAUCCAAGAGAAGAGCAGCAAACGAAACAGCAGCUAAGAAGUCGACGAUGAGCUUGGCUGUCUUCCUGGGUCUCUCCAUCACCACCGAGUGCCCACAGUUUUCCAGAAGUUCUACCUGGCUGUUGGCAAUUGACUCGGCCAAAGUAUCCGCACCAGACACAUCGAGCACCUAAAGGACAGAAAAGGAAACAACAACAGAUGGAAAAGAUUCAGACACCCAGGUCAAAACUCCUACCUCAGCCUGAAUUUUAGGACCAAGUCAUUCCUGUGACUUUCAGAUGGAACUGACCGCCUACCAGGAGUUGUGCAGCUGCCGGCAUUACUGAGGGGAUCUGGUCUGGUAGGGUUGCCAGACAGGUCCUGAAGUCUGUGAAUAACUAGGAAUGCUUUUCCAACAAAAAGGCUACCACUUUUCUAAAGCUGAUUUUUUAAAAACUAACUCAUUUAAGUUCAUCUGAAUGACCUUGCUGUUCUGCCAACUUGACCUAAUUUUCCCCCCAACAUCCUCUCUGGCACUGGAUUUGCAUUCAAAUCCCCUCUCUUAAUCACUUUCCCUUUCAGCUCAUCAUAACAGGAGUGCCCCUUCUCUCCAUUGUUAACAGCAAAAAUAAAACUGUAAAGAGUG